rnacentral:rRNA from 1 species
GAUGAACGCUGGCGGCGUGCUUAACACAUGCAAGUCGAACGAAGCAUUUGCGACAGAUUUUUUCGGAAUGAAGUUGCUUAUGACUGAGUGGCGGACGGGUGAGUAACGCGUGGGUAACCUGCCUUGUACUGGGGGAUAGCAGCUGGAAACGGCUGGUAAUACCGCAUAAGCGCACAAUGUUGCAUGACAUGGUGUGAAAAACUCCGGUGGUAUAAGAUGGACCCGCGUCUGAUUAGCUAGUUGGUGAGAUAACAGCCCACCAAGGCGACGAUCAGUAGCCGACCUGAGAGGGUGACCGGCCACAUUGGGACUGAGACACGGCCCAGACUCCUACGGGAAGCAGCAGUGGGGAAUAUUGCACAAUGGAGGAAACUCUGAUGCAGCGACGCCGCGUGAGUGAAGAAGUAAUUCGUUAUGUAAAGCUCUAUCAGCAGGGAAGAUAGUGACGGUACCUGACUAAGAAGCGCCGGCUAAAUACGUG